CAAGAUCUUUAGUUUAGCACCACCAUUUACCGUGUGGCUAGAGUGGGCAAGGUUGGUAGUGGCCGUAUUGUCAUAAUUUUUGUAUAUUUUGUACCCUUGAUAUCGUAUUCACUUACUUAAGGGAAGGUAAAGAUCCCAAAAGAAUGGUGAACGGAUUACGAUCAAGGAAUUUAAUGUUUGGAUUUUAACUUCUUUUAUGGAAUAAACCAUUCUACCAGGAACUUGUUGUGCUGUUGGUGUUAAGGAGUGCUUGUAGGCCAUGUUUGCUAGGGAGUUGAGGGUAAAACCUUGGCCUAUAGCCCUGGUACUUGGUCUGUUUGUAUUUUCUAACUAUUGCUCCUUUACUCAAGGUGUAUGUUUUUACCAAGGACUUCAAUAUGCUUGCAUUAAUUUACUAUAAUGACAAUGAAGAGAAGGCCUUGACAAGCGGUAAACGGACAGUAGGGUAAACAGUCCAUAGUCGUCUGGUCUCUAAAGUAAAGCCUACUUAUGUCUGCCCCAGAAAUUGUUUCUGUUUCAAUUGUUUACAAAUUGUAAACUUUUUUUAUCCCUUGUCACUCGCAGCCUGUGGUUAUUCCUU